AAAUGUAUCCUGGUCUUGCUGUCUGCUGCUGGCCCCGUGCUAGUUUAGAGGACAACUUCUCUUCACUGAGGACAACACAGAAUCCUGGAGAUAUUUUUGAUGAGUAGUAAAGAAGUAAUGCAUGACUCUGAUUUGCGGCUGCAGGAUAAAUCCGAACUAUUUCAGGGAGAUGUCAUGGAGAGCUCAUCUCUCAGCAUCAAAGUUGCCUCUCCUGACUUUUGAAUUUUAAGUGUUCUGUGUGGAAGAAAAAUGGAGACAACAAAUUUCUAUGCAUGGAUUCAAAGAAUCCUCGUAAUAUACAGACUACAUUCUCCCCAGCUUUUUAUCUCUAUAUAUUCUUUUUGUUGAGUUUCAACCACAUAGGGUUGAAAUUCACCUUCCCACAUUACAUUUUUCAUCAAUAGUUGAAGACCUAUGUAUGUAAAUAUCAGGAACUAUCAGAACUCCCUGCAACAGGAAACCUGACCCCCAACUCCCCCGAAAUGCAUCAUGAUAAACAGUCACUUGCCAAAAUAACAAAUCAGCUUCCUGGAACAUGCUUGCUCAAAACCAGGAGAGGAGCUUAGAGACGUCAGCUUGACUUCUGCCUCGUACGCAGGAAGGGUGACCUUCAAAGAUCAAACAUCGUCCCAAAUCUCCCUUCAUCUUGUAGUACUCCUGCUUGUCGUAGCUCCUGUUACCAUCAGCUGACUCGAAGCCCAGAUUCUCC
rnacentral:lncRNA from 1 species